rnacentral:rRNA from 1 species
GACGAACCGUGCGAACGUUAUUCGGAAUCACUGGGCUUAAAGCGCGUGUAGGCGGGCCGGCACGUCGGUUGCUGAAAUCCCCCGGCUCAACCGGGGAAGGGGCGCCGAUACGACCGGCCUGGAGGGGCGUAGGGGGAUCGGGAACUUCCGGUGGAGCGGUGAAAUGCGUUGAGAUCGGAAGGAACGCCCGUGGCGAAAGCGCGGUCCUGGACGCCAUCUGACGCUGAGACGCGAAAGCCAGGGGAGCGAACGGG